rnacentral:misc_RNA from 1 species
GAAAUGCGAUAAUUAAUGUGAAUUGCAGAAUUCAGUGAAUCAUCGAGUCUUUGAACGCACAUUGCGCCCCCUGGUAUUCCGGGGGGCAUGCCUGUCCGAGCGUCAUUGCUGCCCUCAAGCACGGCUUGUGUGUUGGGCUUCCGUCCCUGGCAACGGGGACGGGCCCAAAAGGCAGUGGCGGCACCAUGUCUGGUCCUCGAGCGUAUGGGGCUUUGUCACCCGCUCCCGUAGGUCCAGCUGGCAGCUAGCCUCGCACCCAAUCUUUUUAACCAGGUUGACCUCGGAUCAGGUAGGGAUACCCGCUGAACUUAAGC